UACGUAGGGCGCAAGCGUUGUCCGGAAUUAUUGGGCGUAAAGAGCUCGUCAGGCGGCUUGUCACGUCGGGUGUGAAAGCCCGGGGCUUAACCCCGGGUCUGCAUUCGAUACGGGCUAGCUAGAGUGUGGUAGGGGAGAUCGGAAUUCCUGGUGUAGCGGUGAAAUGCGCAGAUAUCAGGAGGAACACCGGUGGCGAAGGCGGAUCUCUGGGCCAUUACUGACGCUGAGGAGCGAAAGCGUGGGUAGCAAACGGG
rnacentral:rRNA from 1 species